rnacentral:rRNA from 1 species
CCUACGGGAGGCAGCAGUGGGGAAUAUUGCACAAUGGGCGAAACUCUGAUGCAGCGAAGCAGCGUGAAUGAAGAAGUACUUCGUUACGUUAAGCUCCAUCUGCAGGGGAGAAAAUGACGGUACCUGAGUAUGAUGCUCUGGCUAACUACGUGACAGCAGCCGCGGUAUUACGUAGGGGGCAAGCGUUAGCCGGAUUUACUGGGUGUAAUGGGAGCGUAGACGGUGCGCGAAGUCUGGAGUGAAAGGCCGCAGCUGAACUGCGGAACUGCUGUGGAAACUGGCGAACUAGAGUGCGGGAGGGGAAAGCGGAAUUCCGAGUGUAGCGGUGAAAUGCGUAGAUAUUAGGAGGAACUCCGAUGGCGAAGGCGGCUGACUGGACCGUAACUGACGUUGAGGCUCGAAAGCGUGGGGAGCAAACAGGAUUAGAUACCCCAGUAGUC